AGUAACGUUUGUUAGCCAAGGAUGACUUGCCUGCGGCUGUCAAUAUCAUUAGGUUUCAAGCAUGAAGCCUUUUGUUUGGUCGCCAGGGAGUCUCCUUGGCUAAUCUGACAGCCUCU
rnacentral:pre_miRNA from 1 species